rnacentral:misc_RNA from 1 species
GUGCAGCUGAUAUGUCAACUUCAUAAGGUGCUCUGUGAUGCAAUUCACCAGAAGGGAGAGAAGAAUUGAACAUACUGGGAGCUUGGCGCCAUGGAACAGGACCUGAUCCAGCCAACUGACUCCAAUUUUUAACAGAUAGGUCUUUAAGUCUGUCGGGCAAAGCUGAAUGGAAAAGCAAAGACGGUGGCCAGGCUGGAUUUAGUGGUAAGAUUACA